rnacentral:rRNA from 1 species
GACGAACGCUGGCGGCGCGCUUCAUACAUGCAAGUCGAGCGAUCGACUCCGGGUCUUCGGACCUGGAGCACGGAGCGGCGAACGGGUGAGUAACACGUGGGUAAUCAACCCUCGGUACUGGGAUAGCCCGGGGAAACCCGGAUUAAUACCGGAUAGCCUCCGGAGCCUGCGGGCGCCGGAGAAAUGGUAGCUUCGGCCUCCGACCGAGGACGAGCCCGCGGCCGAUUAGCUUGUUGGUGAGGUAACGGCUCACCAAGGCGACGAUCGGUAGCUGGUGUGAGAGCAUGACCAGCCACACUGGGACUGAGACACGGCCCAGACUCCUACGGGAGGCAGCAGUAGGGAAUCUUGCGCUAAUGCGGGCAACCGUGACGCAGCGACGCCGCGUGCGGGAAGAAGGCCUUCGGGUUGUAAACCGCUUUCAGGUGGGACGAAGCUACUCGGGUUAAUAGCCCAGGGGGUGACGGUACCUCCAGAAGAAGCCCCGGCUAACUACGUGCCAGCCGCCGGGUAA